GUGCUUGCUUUGGCAGCACAUACAUUAAAAUUGGAAUGAUGCAGAGAUUAGCUUGGCCCAUGAAAAUUUGUGAAACGUUCCAUAUUUUU
rnacentral:snRNA from 1 species